GCACCAGUAGCUCAGCUGGAUAGAGUACUGCCCUCCGAAGGCAGUGAUCAUCGAGUUGAGAAGGGUGCA
rnacentral:tRNA from 1 species